ensembl:miRNA
GGCAUGGAACCUUGCGGCAUCCAUGAGACCACCUUCAACUCCAUCAUGAAGUGUGAUGUGGACAUCCGCAAAGACCUGUACGCC